GGUCAAGAGUCCUAGCAACAAGCCCCGGCUCGCUAGGCGGCAACCCCCGUACCGCGGCGGGGUGCUCCGGGUGAGGACCUGGUUUGCCUGCGAAACCCGCAGGCGGCAAGCGCGGGUC
rnacentral:ncRNA from 2 species